AAUCUAUGGGUCCUGGGUGCCUUUUGGGAUCAAUCUAUGGGUCCUGGUUGCCUUUUGGGGUCACUCUAUGAGUCCUAACUCCACUUUGGGGUCAAUCUAUGGGUCCUGGCUCUACUUUGGGGUCAUUCUAUGGGUCCUGGUUGCCUUUUGGGGUCACCCUAUGGGUCCUGGCUCUACUUUGGGGUCACUCUAUGGGUCCCGGUUGCCUUUUGGGGUCAAUCUAUGGGUCCUGGCUCUACUUUAGGGUCACCCUAUGGGUUUUGGGUACAUUUUGGGUUCAAUUUAUGGGUCCUGGCUCUACUUUAUGUUCACUCUAUGGGUCCUGGGUGCCUUUCGGGGUCUCUCUAUGGGUCCUGGCUCUACUUUGAGUUCACUCCAUGGGUCCUGGGUGCCUUUUGGGGUCAAUCUAUGGGUCCUGGGUGCUUUUUGGGGUCACUCUGUGGGUUCUGGUUGCCUUUUGGGGUCCCUCUAUGGGUGCUGGUUGCAUUUGGGGUCACUUUAUGGGUCCUGGCUCUACUUUGGGGUCCCUCUAUGGGUGCUGGUUUCAUUUGGGGUCAAUCUAUGGGUCCUGGUUGCCUUUUGGGGUCACUCUAUGGGUCCUGGUUCUACUUUGGGGUCACCCUAUGGGUUUUGGGUACAUUUUGGGGUCAAUCUGUGGGUCCUGGUUCUACUUUGGGGUCAUUCUAUGGGUCCUGGCUCUACUUUGGGGUCACUCUAUGGGUCCUGGGUGCCUUUUGGGGUCGCUCUAUGGGUCCUGGGUGCUUUUUGGGGUCACUCUGUGGGUUCUGGUUGCCUUUUGGGGUCCCUCUAUGGGUGCUGGUUUCAUUUGGGGUCACUUUAUGGGUCCUGGCUCAACUUUGGGGUCACUCUAUGGGUCCUGAUUGCAUUUGGGGUCAAUCUAUGGGUCCUGGCUCUACUUUGGGGUCAUUCUAUGGGUCCUGGGUGCCUUUUGGGAUCAAUCUAUGGGUCCUGGUUGCCUUUUGGGGUCACUCUAUGGGUCCUGGUUCUACUUUGGGGUCCCUCUAUGAGUCCUGGCUCUACUUUGGGGUCAAUCUGUGGGUCCUGGCUCUACUUUGGGGUCAAUCUAUGGGUCCUGGCUUUACUUUGGGGUCACCCUAUGGGUCCUGGUUGCCUUUUGGGGUCGCCCUAUGGGUCCAGCCCCACACAUUUCCCCCCCCACAGCCAUCAUCCUCCGCAACCUCCACCCUCAGAGCAGCCUGGAAUCCAUCCUGGCAGCCCUGGCUCCGUUCGCCGCUCUGUCGGCCGCCAACGUCCGCGUCAUCAAGGACAGACAGACGCAGCUCAACCGCGGCUUCGCCUUCGUGCAGCUGGCCACCAUCGUGGUGA
rnacentral:lncRNA from 1 species